AGAGUUUGAUCAUGGCUCAGAAUGAACGCUGGCGGCGUGCCUAACACAUGCAAGUCGAGCGGUAAGGCCCCUUCGGGGGUACACGAGCGGCGAACGGGUGAGUAACGCGUGGGUAACCUACCCAGAAGUGGGGGAUAGCCCCGGGAAACCGGGGGUAAUACCGCAUGAGUCACAACAGACACAAGUCGGUUGUGGGAAAGGCGGGGAUCCUUCGGGACCUGUCGCUUCUGGAUGGGCCCGCGUCCGAUUAGCUUGUUGGUGGGGUAAUGGCCUACCAAGGCUGCGAUCGGUAGCCGGCCUGAGAGGGUGAACGGCCACAUUGGGACUGAGACACGGCCCAGACUCCUACGGGAGGCAGCAGUGGGGAAUUUUGGGCAAUGGGCGCAAGCCUGACCCAGCGACGCCGCGUGGAGGAUGAAGGCCUUCGGGUUGUAAACUCCUGUCAGGUGGGAAGAAAUGCCUGUCGGUUAAUAACCGACAGGAGUUGACGGUACCACCAAAGGAAGCCCCGGCUAACUCCGUGCCAGCAGCCGCGGUAAUACGGAGGGGGCAAGCGUUAUUCGGAUUUACUGGGCGUAAAGCGCACGUAGGCGGCAUGGCAAGUCGCAGGUGAAAGCCCUCGGCUCAACCGAGGAACUGCCUGCGAAACUGCCUUGCUUGAGUCCGGGAGGGGGGAGCGGAAUUCCCAGUGUAGCGGUGAAAUGCGUAGAUACUGGGAGGAACACCGGUGGCGAAGGCGGCUCCCUGGACCGGUACUGACGCUGAGGUGCGAAAGCGUGGGUAGCAAACAGGAUUAGAUACCCUGGUAGUCCACGCCGUAAACGAUGGGCACUAGGUGCAGCGGGUGUCGACCCCUGCUGUGCCGAAGUUAACGCAUUAAGUGCCCCGCCUGGGGAGUACGGUCGCAAGGCUGAAACUCAAAUGAAUUGACGG
rnacentral:rRNA from 1 species